rnacentral:rRNA from 1 species
GAUGAACGCUGGCGGCGUGCCUAAUACAUGCAAGUCGAGCGAAUGGAUUAAGAGCUUGCUCUUAUGAAGUUAGCGGCGGACGGGUGAGUAACACGUGGGUAACCUGCCCAUAAGACUGGGAUAACUCCGGGAAACCGGGGCGAAUACCGGAUAACAUUUUGAACCGCAUGGCUCGAAAUUGAAAGGCUGCUUCGGCUGUCACUUAUGGAUGGACCCGCGUCGCAUUAGCUAGUUGGUGAGGUAACGGCUCACCAAGGGAACGAUGCGUAGCCGACCUGGGAGGGUGAUCGGCCACACUAGGACUGAGACACGGCCCAGACUCCUACGGGAGGCAGCAGUAGGGAAUCUUCCGCAAUGGACGAAAGUCUGACGGAGCAACGCCGCGUGAGUGAUGAAGGCUUUCGGGUCGUAAAACUCUGUUGUUAGGGAAGAACAAGUGCUAGUUGAAUAAGCUGGCACCUUGACGGUACCUAACCGGAAAGCCACGGCUAACUACGUGCCAGCCGCCGCCGUAA